AUUGAACGCUGGCGGCAUGCCUUACACAUGCAAGUCGAACGGCAGCACGGGAGCAAUCCUGGUGGCGAGUGGCGAACGGGUGAGUAAUAUAUCGGAACGUGCCCAGUCGUGGGGGAUAACGUAGCGAAAGCUACGCUAAUACCGCAUACGAUCUAUGGAUGAAAGCGGGGGAUCGCAAGACCUCGCGCGAUUGGAACGGCCGAUAUCAGAUUAGGUAGUUGGUGAGGUAAAGGCUCACCAAGCCGACGAUCUGUAGCUGGUCUGAGAGGACGACCAGCCACACUGGGACUGAGACACGGCCCAGACUCCUACGGGAGGCAGCAGUGGGGAAUUUUGGACAAUGGGCGCAAGCCUGAUCCAGCAAUGCCGCGUGCAGGAUGAAGGCCUUCGGGUUGUAAACUGCUUUGUACGGAACGAAACGGUGAGCUCUAAUACAGUUUGCUAAUGACGGUACCGUAAGAAUAAGCACCGGCUAACUACGUG
rnacentral:rRNA from 1 species